CUCCCUCCGUCUCGUCUUCUCUGGGGCUUCAAUCUUUCCACUGACAUUCAGGAGAACGUUAACUACAACUUUUUCGGGUUUAACCUGAAUCUGCAUCAAAGGAAGGAGGCCCUGAAGAUUCCUGAGGACUUGCAGGAUGAUGGCACUUCCAGUCGCUUGCCUUCAGGAGAGCAUUGGAAGGUCUUCAUAAAGACCAACAGGCCUUUCCUCUGCUCUCCUUCUGGACUCCAUCGCUUCAGGACAAAGCUGGGACCACUUCUCAGGACUGACUUUUGGACUCUCUGACUCUGCCUCCUGUCCAGUGUUUCCUAAAUUCUCCCGUUACAGUAAAUGGAAUUGAGAGAAGUCAUCAUUCCAAAGGACAGGACUGCCACACUGGGUGACUGG
ensembl:lncRNA